rnacentral:lncRNA from 1 species
UGAAAAUCUAAUCCAUUGGCAACCCUACCCAUAAUUGAAAACAUCUCUCGAGCCAGAGAGAGAUUUCUACUGAUUGUAAUCACUUUCGGAGUUCUUCGCAGCCAAUGAUUGAGAUUUUACUUACUGCAGUUACUUCCAAGGUUCUUUGCACGUGGAUAGUACCCGUACCCUAAUGCCCCGGCCCAUGAUUAGAUAAAGAUGCCUGCUCUAUGGCCAAUAAAUCAAAAUGCAACAAGAUAAACAAUGAGUGGGGAGAAGCUAGACACGUAGUUGUACCAUGCUAGUAAAGAGAUUAAAAUGAGUAGUGUUUUUCAAAUUCUAGAAUAAUCAUCAAUUUAUGUGGCAAUUGAAUUUUAUCACAUUGUCUAAUGUUUAAAAAUAAAUUCCAACUCUAUUGGAUAAUAUGACUCCACUGGCACAGAGACCGAUGAAAUAAAAUAACAUUAUUCAAAUAUAUGCAUCGGGUUAGUCGACAUCCAAGAUGUACAAUCUAGACUCUGUUACAAACUGCGCAGCAAACCAACAGUCGAAUCGUGUCAACUGUCAAGCUCAGCUCUAGCAACCUGCACCUCCAAAGAACCACACCUAAUAAAUAGCAUUUGGGUCUCAAAUCGAGGUUCUGUUCUAGAACAAGUGCCCCCUUUAGGACAAUACAAUUCAAGAUCAAAUUCAACUUGCACAUAUAUAAAUUGACAAGCUGCUCUUCAAAGAUUUGACAGGCCAAGAAGCACAGAAUCAAUAUUCUUGGACCAAUUCACCCUACAAUGUGAUCUAAAUGCCCCGCCCCAUAUAUAAGAUGGAAUCCAGUACUUCUGGUAAAUUAAGCACAUCUCAGAUGACAGCAAUUAUUGAAUGUCUUAAAUCUGCAACAAAUACUCCCAAAACUUUGUCUAUUUAUGCUUCACAUUCAUGCUAAUUUUAGCAGAGGCAGUUAAAGCACAAAUACGUGUUUUGUAUUAGUGCUGGACAAGAUUGAGGAGUACAAAGGACAAGAUUUUAAUUUCUUUUUCUUCCUUUAAUACCAUCCAAACAUGCCACAAAUGCACACAUCCACAAGCAACUGAACUCAACAAAUCAGUAAAAACCAGAAUUACAAUGUACCAAAAACUAUUCUUUUGAUACUUGGAAACUGUCAAAAUUGUGUACUUACAUCAAGCAACAUCAUCCUCGCCGCAGGAAUAACCUAUACAUCUACUUUUUUGCAACACUUGAUGACUAAAGCUAUGGUUUAACAUUACUUAACUGGCCUCCGUCUUUGUUAGCAACAGUAGCAGCUUUAACCUCAUUGCAGCAAUUUAUAAACUUGCUCAGCUCCUGAUCAGGGCCGAUAAAAGGAUGUUAGUCCUUACUAUUACAAGAUAAACAGCCCCAAGA